rnacentral:tRNA from 1 species
GCCGCCGUAGCUCAGCCUGGAAGAGCGCUCUGGGGCUAACCGGGUUGCCCCGGGUUCAAAUCCCGGCGGCGGCA